GACGAACGCUGGCGGCGUGCUUAACACAUGCAAGUCGAACGGACAGGCCCUGCUGUUGUGGGGUGCUCGAGUGGCGAACGGGUGAGUAACACGUGUGUAACCUGCCCUUGACUUUGGGAUAACUUAAUGAAACUGGGGCUAAUACCGGAUAGGAGCUCCUGCUGCAUGGUGGGGGCGGGAAGGUUUCGGUGGUUGGGGAUGGACUGGCGUAGCAUCAGCUUGUUGGGUGGGUAGUGGAGUACCAUGGCUUGGAAGGGUAGCAUGCCUGGGAGGGUGACAGGCCCAGUUAGGACUGGGCUACGACCCAGCCCACUCCGGGAGGCAGCAGUGGGGAAUAUUGCACUAUGGGCGGAAGCCAGGUGCAGCAACGCCGCGUGGGGGAUGACGGCCUUCGGGUUGUAAACCGCUUCCGCCUGUGACGAAGCGUGAGUGACGGUAAUGGGUAAAGAAGCACCGGCUAACUACGUG
rnacentral:rRNA from 1 species